AUUGAACGCUAGCGGCAAGCCUAACACAUGCAAGUCGAACGAGUGGCGGACGGGUGAGUAAUGUCUGGGAAACUGCCUGAUGGAGGGGGAUAACUACUGGAAACGGUAGCUAAUACCGCAUACCAUAGGAUGGGCCCAGAUGGGAUUAGCUAGUAGGUGGGGUAAAGGCAUACCAAGGCGACGAUCCCUAGCUGGUCUGAGAGGAUGACCAGCCACACGGGAACUGAGACACGGCCCAGACUCCUACGGGAGGCAGCAGUAGGGAAUUUUCGGCAAUGGGCGAAACUCUGACCGAGCCACGCCGCGUGAGUGAAGAAGGUUUUCGGAUCGUAAAACUCUGUUGUCAGAGAAGCGGUAUCUAACCAGAAAGCAACGGCUAACUACGUGCCAGCAGCCGCGGUAAUAC
rnacentral:rRNA from 1 species